UACGGGGGGAGCAAGCGUUGUUCGGAUUUACUGGGCGUAAAGGGCGCGUAGGCGGUCAGCACAAGUCAGUUGUGAAAUCUCCGGGCUUAACUCGGAAAGGUCAACUGAUACUGUGCGACUAGAGUGCAGAAGGGGCAACUGGAAUUCUCGGUGUAGCGGUGAAAUGCGUAGAUAUUAGGAAGAACACCGGUGGCGAAGGCGGCCCACUGGAUCGGUACUGACGCUGAGGUGCGAAAGCGUGGGGAGCAAACAGG
rnacentral:rRNA from 1 species